rnacentral:lncRNA from 1 species
AUUUAUGCUUUUCUCAUAGCCACCACACCCCCUGCAGUGAAUCUGGCAGAUUUUUUUUUUUUUUUCUUGAGACGGAGUCUCACUCUGUCACCCAGGCUAGAGUGCAAUGGUGUGGUCUCGGCUCACUGCAACCUCCACUUCCUGGGUUCAAGCAAUUCUCCUGCCUCAGCCUCCUGAGUAGCUGGGACUACAGGCGCAUGGCAACACACCAGGCUAAUUUUUGUAUUUUUAGUAGAGAUGGGGUUUCACCAUGUUGGUCAGGCUGGUCUCGAACUCCUGACCUCAAGAUCCAUCCGCCUCAGCCUCCCAAAGUGCUGGGAUUACAGGUGUGAGCUACCGCACCCGGCCAGAUAUUUAAAAAUCUUAUUAGAGAACCAAUUUUUGGCAUGUGAAUUCUAUCUAUAAAAUUUAUAUUAAUUUAUGCAUGUACUUAUUUCCUUAUGUUUGUACUUUGUGGGUUUGCUUUAUUUUCUUAACUUAGUUGGAAACUCAGGCCAUUUGUUUUAAGUCUUCUUUUGUAAUUUAUGUUUUUAAUAGUAAUAUUUUCUUGAUGUUCCAAAGUUUUGAUAUAAAAUACUCUUAUUUUUUUUUAAGUUUUAAGAAUUUCAGAUUUCCAGUAUAAUUUAUUCCUUGAACACAGAAGUUAUUUAGAUGUAUGUGUAUUUAUUAUUAAUAGCAAAUACAUAUUUGUAAUUAAUUUCUACUUAAUUGCAUUGUGGUCCUAAAGAGUAAUUUGUCUUACAGUAUACUAGUUCAUUAUUAACUUUUGAAAAUGUUCCUUGUGUGUUGGAGGUGGAAAAGUGGCUACUUUACUAAUUAUUAGUUACAAUGCUUUAUUUUUAUUAUUUUAUUAUUAUUAUUUUGAGACAGAGUCUCACUCUGUGGCGCAGACUGGAGUGCACUGGUGUGAUCUCAGCUCACUGCAACCUCUGCCACUUGGGUUCAAGCGAUUCUCUUGCCUCAGCCUUCCAAGUAGCUGGGAUUACAGGUGCCUGCCACCACACCUGGCUAAUUUUUGUAUUUUCAGUAGAGACGGGUUUCGCCAUGUUGCCAGGCUGGUCUUGAACUCCUGACCUCAGGUGAUCCACCCACCUCGGCCUCCCAAAGUGCUGGGAUUAUAGGCAUGAGCCACCGCGCCUGGCCAGUUGCAGUGUUUUUAAUAUGUCCUUUAGAUCAAACUUGUUAAUUCUGUGGUUAAUAUCUACAUAGAUACUAAUUUUUUGUUACGCGAUCUAGCAAAGGUUCAAAGAACUGCACUGAAAUUUCUGAUGGUGGAUUGCCACUUUUUUCCUGUAGUCUGUCAGUUUUUACUAUGUAUAUUCUGUGACAUUUUAUUAGCCAUAUAUAUGUUUAAAAUUUUUAGAUCAUCCUAGUGGUACUGUACCAUUUUAUAGUUAUGUAAUAAUGUAAGUAAUAUUAUGUAUAUAAGAUAUAUUUCUAUAUCUAAUAAUGCUUUUUCUCUUUAAAUGUAUUUGUCUGAUAUUAAUUGAUACUUGCUUAAAGAAUUGUAUUUGCUAGAUAUAGUUUUUCCAUCAUUUUACAUCUUGCUUUUCUGUAUCCUUAUGUUUUGAAUGUAUCUCUUUUGAAUAGCCAAUACCUGGGUUUAAAAAAUGUCUAAUUAGACAAUAUAUACCUCAUAACUGUUAAAUUGAAAUCAUUUAUGGUUUUUGUUACUAUUAUUAUGUUUGGAAUGAUUGCCUCUUUAAAUUCUUACUCUGGAACUGGAAAGAAUGGUAAAAUAACUCUGGUUUCAAAUAGAAACUCCUUGCUGCUCCUUCAGAGAAAGCCAAAUGGAGGUUUAAAAGUCCUUUCCAUUUCCCUACCAAAACAAAAGCAACAAAAAAGAAAAUUAAAAAUCCUCAUUCUCUGGAAAUGCUUGAAGAAGGGAAAAAAUAAAUUGGAGAUACAAUGAUUGGCAAAAAUGACAUCUUUAUUUAUUUUUAAUAAAAGAUAAAUGUAAUGUAGAGCCAUGGCCUUAUUCUUCUAAACUUCUGUGGGACUUACACAGUUUAUUAUGUAAGUCUCUGUAAUUCAAGUUACCCGGAAAGUUCAAUUUCAUGUGUGAUUAUUAUUGCCUAUUGAAAGUGCAUCUGAUUUGUUAUAACAGGAACCCUGUAGGGGAAAUAAUUGUAUGUUGUUAGCAAUGAAUAUAUGUAAACCUUUAAAAAUGAAUUAAUGUUUUUGAUAUAGCAUGUUUAAUUCAAGCUAGUCUGUGUUCAAUUAUUGGAAGCAGGGAGUGAACGCUCUAAGAAAUAAAAUAACCUAGGGUGAAACACCUUAUUUUAUGAAAAACUAAUUUUUAGGAGCAUUUUCUUUUAUACUAUGUAAAAAAAUCCCUGAAAGAUGAACAGACUUUGACAGCUGUUAUAGGUGAGAGCCUCAAGUAAAGAUAAAAUUAAAUGUUUUCCUUAAAUGCUAUUGCCCAAAUAAUGAAUAUCCAUAAUUGAAAACUGAGAUUACCUUAUACUUUGCUUUGUUCUCUCUGCCAGAGUCCUACCCACUGUAUUAGUUGUUAGAGUUGUGGAACUUAACCGAAGCUUUCUCUGGAUUCCAGAUGUUUUAAGAAUAUUUUCAGCUGCAUGGCUUGACAGCCUUGGGAUUCCCUCACACAUUCACAGUCUUUUUUGGAUCAGUCUGAUGUGAGCAUGAAAACUGGGAGUUGUGGAGCCCACUUAGGAAAUGAUUGCAAUUGUCCAGGAGACAGAUGAUGGUAAUUAAGUUUCCAUCAGCCUGGAACUCAGGACAGAAGAUACAUAUUCUGUAUGUAGAGAAUCACUGGAGGUCAAAUGUCUUUGCCAAUUUGAGUUUUUCCACUUGAACAAGAAAAGACUGUCAAGGGAAAGCCAAUCAAUUUCACAAUGUUUAGGAUUGGGCAACAAAUAAAUCGAGUGUAAAAGAAGUCUGAUUCCUCAUUGCUGACAGGAAGACAGCCAUGGAUUGGGAAAAGAUUAGAGUGAAUCCUGUGAUGUUGGAUUGGGAUUGAAGAUACCGGUAUGAAUUCACAGCUUGUUCUAUCUACCUGCCUGUCAGCUAUCUGACUAUCUCUCUGUUUAUCUAUCAUCUAUCUGUCUAUCUAUCAUCUAUUGAACCUAUCUAUCCACCCACCUAUCUAUCCCUGUCAUCUACCUAUGUAUGUGUGUACAUUUCCCAGCUCUGUGCACUAAGAGGGCCCAAAACAAUGAUACUCCAGUAGUAGUGAAUAUACUUAGAAAUCUUGAUUUCUAAACAAUGUCUUCACUAAAAUAAAUCAAGCCAUGUUGGGAAAGA